UAGUCAUAUGCUUGUCUCAAAGAUUAAGCCAUGCACGUGUAAGAUCAUUUGGUAAGGAGCAAUCCUUAUGAACAAUAAUUUGCGGAUGGCUCAAGAUAACAGUUAUAAACUUGGCUAUCAGCCUUUUAUACGGAUAACACCGUCAAAUGCGGUGAUAAUACGUGUCCACAAAACCCGAAAGGGUUGACGAUACAAUUAUUGGAAAAUGUUGUAUCAGCAGAUAACGGUCUUCGGACCGUUAUUAUAGACAACGCAAGUUGCCUGGAAGAGGUAUUUCUAACUUAUCAGGUACGUUGUUUCAGUAAGGGUGAAACAAGCCGACCACGAGUACGGCGAAUCAGUGUUCGAUUCCGGAGAGGGAGCCUGAGAGAUGGCUACUACAUCUAAGGAUGGCAGCAGGCGCGAAAAUUACCCAAUACAAAUUCUGUGAGGUAGUGACAAGAUAUAACGACCUUACUUUUUCGCAAUGGAAGGGUACCGUGUUAAAAGCGGUUUUGGAAUGUUUCUAGUUCNNAAUCCUAUUUAGAGUAACAAUUG
rnacentral:rRNA from 1 species